rnacentral:rRNA from 1 species
GGCGGGGUGCAUGAGACAUGCAAGUCGAACGGGGUUGAGCGGGCUUGCUCGAUCAACCUAGUGGCGGACGGCUGAGUAACGCGUAGGUGACCUGUCCGGAAGUGGGGAAUAACUGCCCGAAAGGGUGGCUAAUACCGCAUGUGGUCGGCGAUUCGGUUCGCCGUGCAAAGCCGCAAGGCGCUUCCGGAGGGGCCUGCGUCCGAUUAGCUAGUUGGUGGGGUAACGGCUCACCAAGGCGACGAUCGGUAGCUGGUCUGAGAGGAUGAUCAGCCAGACUGGGACUGAGAACGGCCCAGACUCCUACGGGAGGCAGCAGUCGGGAAUUUUGCCCAAUGGACGAAAGUCUGAGGCAGCAACUCCGCGUGAGGGACGAAGGCCUUCGGGUCGUAAACCUCUUUUCUCAGGGAAGAUACAAGACGGUACCUGAGGAAUAAGCCACGGCUAACUACGUGCCAGCAGCCGCGGUAAUACGUANGUGGCGAGCGUUGUUCGGAAUUACUGGGCGUAAAGGGCGCGUAGGCGGUGCACUAAGUCAGGCGUGAAAGCCCUGGGCUCA